rnacentral:ncRNA from 1 species
AUAAAAGCGACGAAGAAAAUAUAGUACGUUACUCCUCUGGUUGAAGAGAGCUUGUGGCUGGUGAAAACAAGCACCAUGGGUAGCGGAAAUUGGGUUUUUGGAGCUGCGGGAUUAUUUCCCGCCGUCUACGCAGGCGUUAACUGUAUCAAGUGAUCCUUCAUAUAGGAGGAUAAUUAGGGUGGCACCGCGGUCUAUUCGUCCCUGCA